UACGUAGGGUGCGAGCGUUAAUCGGAAUUACUGGGCGUAAAGCGCGCGCAGGCGGCCGAUUAAGUCUGGUGUUUAACCCCGGGGCUCAACCCCGGGUCGCACUGGAAACUGGUUGGCUUGAGUACAGAAGAGGAAAGUGGAAUUCCACGUGUAGCGGUGAAAUGCGUAGAGGAUGAUGGAGGAACACCAGUGGCGAAGGCGACUGACUGGACAAGUAUUGACGCUGAGGUACGAAAGCGUGGGGAGCAAACAGG
rnacentral:rRNA from 1 species